rnacentral:rRNA from 1 species
GAUGAACGCUGGCGGCGUGCCUAAUACAUGCAAGUCGAGCGAACAGACGAGGAGCUUGCUCCUCUGACGUUAGCGGCGGACGGGUGAGUAACACGUGGAUAACCUACCUAUAAGACUGGGAUAACUUCGGGAAACCGGAGCUAAUACCGGAUAAUAUAUUGAACCGCAUGGUUCAAUAGUGAAAGACGGUUUUGCUGUCACUUAUAGAUGGAUCCGCGCCGCAUUAGCUAGUUGGUAGGGUAACGGCUUACCAAGGCGACGAUGCGUAGCCGACCUGAGAGGGUGAUCGGCCACACUGGAACUGAGACACGGUCCAGACUCCUACGGGAGGCAGCAGUAGGGAAUCUUCCGCAAUGGGCGAAAGCCUGACGGAGCAACGCCGCGUGAGUGAUGAAGGUCUUCGGAUCGUAAAACUCUGUUAUUAGGAAAGAACAAAUGUGUAAGUAACUAUGCACGUCUUGACGGUACCUAAUCAGAAAGCCACGGCUAACUACGUG